rnacentral:rRNA from 1 species
GACGAACGCUGGCGGCGUGCUUAACACAUGCAAGUCGAACGGAAAGGCCCUGCUUUUGUGGGGUGCUCGAGUGGCGAACGGGUGAGUAACACGUGAGUAACCUGCCCUUGACUUUGGGAUAACUUCAGGAAACUGGGGCUAAUACCGGAUAGGAGCUCCUGCUGCAUGGUGGGGGUUGGAAAGUUUCGGCGGUUGGGGAUGGACUCGCGGCUUAUCAGCUUGUUGGUGGGGUAGUGGCUUACCAAGGCUUUGACGGGUAGCCGGCCUGAGAGGGUGACCGGACAACAUGGGAAUGGAAAUAGGGCCCGAACCCUAAGGGAAGGAAGAGGGGGGAAUUAUGGAACAUGGGAGGAAGGCUGGAGCAGCAAAGCCGGGGGGGGGGAGAAGGGCUUUGGGUUGGAAACCGCUUUCGCCUGUGACGAAGCGUGAGUGACGGUAAUGGGUAAAGAAGCACCGGCUAACUACGUG